AUUGAACGCUGGCGGCAUGCCUUACACAUGCAAGUCGAACGGCAGCACGGGGCAACCUGGUGGCGAGUGGCGAACGGGUGAGUAAUGCAUCGGAACGUACCUUUCAGUGGGGGAUAACGUAGCGAAAGUUACGCUAAUACCGCAUAUUCUGUGAGCAGGAAAGCAGGGGAUCGCAAGACCUUGCGCUGAUUGAGCGGCCGAUGUCAGAUUAGCUAGUUGGUGAGGUAAAGGCUCACCAAGGCGACGAUCUGUAGCGGGUCUGAGAGGAUGAUCCGCCAGACUGGAGCUGGGACACGGUCCAGACUCCUACGGGAGGCAGCAGUGGGGAAUUUUGGACAAUGGGGGCAACCCUGAUCCAGCCAUGCCGCGUGAGUGAAGAAGGCCUUCGGGUUGUAAAGCUCUUUCGGCCGGGAAGAAAUCGCACGGGCUAAUACCCUGUGUGGAUGACGGUACCGGAAUAAGAAGCACCGGCUAACUACGUGCCAGCAGCCGCCGUAACAC
rnacentral:rRNA from 1 species